ACAAAUGCCUGAGAAAAAUCNCUUAAAGGA
rnacentral:piRNA from 1 species